rnacentral:rRNA from 1 species
UACGGAGGAUGCAAGCGUUAUCCGGAAUUAUUGGGCCUAAAGCAUCCGUAGCCGGUCCUGCAAGUCUUCCGUUAAAUCCAGCUGCUCAACAGAUGGGCUGCGGGAGAUACUACAGGGCUAGGAGGCGGGAGAGGCAAGCGGUACUUUAUGGGUAGGGGUAAAAUCCGCUGAUCCAUAGAAGACCACCAGUGGCGAAGGCGGCUUGCCGGAACGCGCUCGACGGUGAGGGAUGAAAGCUGGGGGAGCAAACCGG